rnacentral:rRNA from 1 species
GGGGGUAGAGUGUAUGAGAAUUCUCUCUCAAUAGGAAGGGUGUGGUGCAUGGCCGUUCUUAGUUGGUGGAGGGAGUUGUAUGGUUAAUUCCGUUAACGAAGGAGACCGCCGCCUGCUAAAUAGUUUUAGUAAUGGUUGUUCAUUGGUAAGAGCUUCUUAGAGGGGCGUUCAUUUUACAAGAUGAAGGAAGAUGACGGCAAUAACAGGUCUGUGAUGCCCUUAGAUGUCCUGGGCCGCACGCGCGUUACACUGAUGCACUCAACGAGCAUAUAACCUUGGCCGAGAGGCCUGGGCAAUCU